rnacentral:rRNA from 1 species
UAAACUAGGGAUUAGAUACCCUAUUAUUUUUAUUAAAAAAUUAAAUAAUUUAAUUAUUAAAUGUAAAUCAUUAAAAAUAAAAAAUUUGGCGGUAUUUAUUAUUUAGAGGAACUUGUUUAUUAAAUUGAUAAUCCACGRGUGGAAAAACUUAAUUUUUUUAUUUUUAUGUAUUGUUGUAAAAUUAUAUUAAGAGGUAUUAAUUAAUAAAUUUAAUUAAAAUUAUAAUUCAAAUCAAAAUGUAGAAUAAUUAAGAGUUUAAUGAGUUACAAUUAGAUUAAUAAUUGAAUUUUAAAAAAUUUAAUUUUAUAAAUGAAAAUGGAUUUAAAAGUAAAAUUAUAUAAACUUAUAAUUGAA